CCAGUCUGACUAAAGGCUUUUGAAUUUCUUGCUACUCAAGUGGAUUCUACUGUUGUUUUACUAAAUCAAGACCGUGAAUUACCACGAUUUUGCCUGCUCUGUGUAAUCCCCCUGAGCAACGAAGAAACGAGUGAGCUACCAGUGAAAUACAGUUUCCCAUCCAUGUGCUGUUGGAGGCCCUACUAAAAGAGCUCAGCUUUCUGACAAAUUACAUCUCAGUUCACAACACAUUUCAGACAAGACAUAACGCCUGUCUUGUAGGUGAUGUCAAAUUAUACCUGCAGAAAUAAAAGGAUGAAAGUGACUGUACCAGGUAUCAUCUGACACUGGGUCCAGAGUUUGUACCUGUUCCUUAUGCUUCUUCAUAGUAAUGCAAGGAAGAUAUUUAGGUCUCGGAAUCACUUAGAAACACAUCCAGAAUUUGAGUCAUCCUCUGCUAAGCUGAUAAAUUAAAUCAAGGAGGGCUGAUAUAUCCUCUAAAACAGGAGCUGUUUCUCAUUGUGUUGGAAUGCAUUUUCUCAGGAGUGGUAAUAUGUUUUCUUUCUUUGCAUGAAAGCUAAUAUUUUUUCUAAGUGUCUAAAAAGAACUUAGGCUUUUAAGUUGCUUAGGUCCUUCAGAAAAUCUUGACCUUCAGUUAUUUUGAAACUUUUUAAAGUAACAAUCAACAAAAAAAUAUAUAUAUUGAUAGCAGAUGUCAGAUAUCAGUUAGUUUGUUCUAUCAGUUGUUGUCAAAUCCAAUCUAGAAUGAAACUAUUAGAAGGGGCAAUCAAACUUAAAUCCUCCUAGAGAUGUCUGAGCCUGAUGACCCUUAAGCGAAUAUGAACUGGCUGUUCUGCUGCCACUUGGGUUUCUGGGAUGAUGGUUCUAUCAUCUUGCUUAUCUUACUAUUCAGUUCCUGACAAACGCUCUGGCUAGCCCAGGGCAAAACCAUAUCUAAAACUGAGUGAAGAUCCUGAACAAUACCUUGAUGUGUUUAUAUUACUGCUAUUCUCAUGUGCUCUCUCUGAUUAAUUCCUUGUUGUCAUUUUAUGAUUGUUAUUCCAUUUCACAUCAUGUAGUACACUGGGAGUUUAGAAGUGAAUGUUUACUCAAGAUAUCAGAAGUGAAUUUUGGUGGUAUGGCAGUAGAGGUUAAACCUUUGACCAGUCUAACAUUACAUAUUGUUGCUGUGUGACAGAUGGCAGCAGAGGAACACUGACAAAAUGGCACCUGACAUCCAGGAAGUGCAUAUAAAGUAAAAGUGCGUCAUUCUUCUGUGAGUGUGGGGGGGAAUGUCACCCACUGACCUUCAUUGGUGCUUGCUGAACACUUGUGGGUGUGAGCACAGAUAAGGUGAUGUGUAGUGAACUUCAGUGGUGAUAGUGACUGUGGGUUAUGUGUGCUGGUGCAGAUUUUGAUGUGCACAGCAUGCAACCUCAUGUUCAUAGCUGGCAAAAAUGCUCCGAUAAUGAUGGUGACCAUGUUGACAAACAGCAUUCUGUAGCUCAGAAUUUGCUCUAUCAGAGUUACUGUGCUCAUUUUGCCUGUUGGAGUUUCCACAAAAAUAAAAAGGAAGCAUUACUUUUGGAGAAAAUACACAUGGCCUGUGACAACUUGUCUUCAUUCAAUGCGGUGUAAAUGGGUUGGAUGCUGGUGUGAUACACCAUCUGUACCAUAACCUGUUCCCUCAGGUCCUGGGUGCCCUUCUUGAGGGCAGUCCAUUGGACUGGGUAACAUGCCAGGUGAAAGAAAGAAAAAAACUUAUUUUGUACCAUUGCUACAAUGAGAAAGAAAGUAGCCAAGCAGAGAAUGAAAGGAACGUAGCAGAGGAGCAGUGCAAAGCACAGAGAUUGGGUGAGCAUUUCCAAGCAGGCUGUGUGAAGAAGUUAAAAGAUACAAGCCUCUCUGCAAAACAAAUAAAUAAUAUCCUUCAUCUGUCAGGUGCCCUCUUCCUUUAGUAACAAUGUCUCUGAGCUGAGGGGUUUUUGCUGUGGGGGCAGAGGGAGGAGGAGUGAUGGUGAAGAACUCAAUUAAAAUAUAUAUUUAUUUUAAUUAUGUUUGCGGAUGCAUUCACCAGCUGUGGGGCUGCUCCGCACUGAGGGGCGGGCGGCAACGGGACCCACAGGUGAGCGCGGGCUGGUGCCUCAGCUGGGAAGGGCGGGAACGCUGAGGGGGGAGAGAAAGAGGCGGGAAGAACAGCGGCGGGAAGCGACUGAGGCGUUCUGGGUUCUGAUUGGUUGGCGCUUAGGGACAGCUAUAAAAGGUGCCCGCGCGGGCAGGUGCGUGAGGCGUUCUCCUCAGAGUGUGGGAAGGCGCUGGGUGCUGUGAGGGACAGGCGGCGGAGGAGGAGGCACGGGCGGCAAGCGGUCUACAGAGCCGAGUUUCAGGAGCUGCUGGAGAAGAAAGAAGAGGUGGUGAGGGAGACCUGGAGGCAGGAGCGAGCAAGAAGAGGAAGCCGAAGCGUGCAGAUGCAGGGGGGAAAGAGAAAGGCAUUCUGGGCAAAGCACCUCCCUGUUAGCAGGGGCAUAGUCACAUUUGAAUUGAACGUUGCCGGCGCCAUAGGUGUCCAGGCCGGCUUUGUGCUGGGCGACCUCCCUGUAAUCAGGGCUCCGGUCUUUUGCUGUAGUUGGCCUUUUGCCUUGCUGCUCCUUGGCUGCCUGGGGAGCGUGGCCCCCUGUAACGGAGGGCGAGAGCCACCUCUCCGCACCUGAGUGGGAAACGGAGCCCGCCGGACCCCGCGGCAACCCUGUAAUCAGGGUAGUGCCGCUUCCCUGCCCCCUCUUCCUCCCGUUGCCCCUCGGCAUCGUUGCCUGGAGGUGGCCCGUCAAUGCGACGGCCCCGUACUCGGGGUGUGCGUCAGGGCGUUUGGCCCUUGUCUAUAGCUGGGAAGCCCCUUGGCACGUUGAGGUCCGUGGCCUCCGUGCAGCCUAGAAAAAGGUCACAGGCUCUUGUGUGUUGCUCGUGGUUGCGGGUUUAUUCCCAGUAGUCGGCUGCACCGUGUUGUCCUUCCUUUCUGGAAAGUCAUGUGUGUGUGUGUGUUCCUUUCCCUUUCCCUUGACUGUGUUUGCAGAGUGACUGAGCGAGUGAGCUUUCCCUUUAGGCCCCCACAAAGAUGGCUGCAGCUUAGCUUUGACUUCCUAGGGGGGAACGGAGGACUUUGGUGCAUGCCA